rnacentral:rRNA from 1 species
GACGAACGCUGGCGGCGUGCUUAACACAUGCAAGUCGAACGGGCCCGCCCCUGUUUUUGGGGGUGGGUUGAGUGGCGAACGGGUGAGUAUCACGUGAGUAACCUGCCCCCUGCUCCUGGAUAACUGCUUGAAAGGGUGGCUAAUACGGGGUGUGCCGGCUGGUCCGCAUGGGCCUGGUCGGGAUAGUUUCAUCUUCGGGUGUUUCGGUGGGGGAUGGGCUCGCGGCCUAUCAGCUUGUUGGUGGGGUGAUGGCCCACCAAGGCGGUGACGGGUAGCCGGCCUGAGAGGGUGGGCGGCCACACUGGGACUGAGACACGGCCCAGACUCCUGCGGGAGGCAGCAGUGGGGGGUAUUGCACAAUGGGCGGAAGCCUGAUGCAGCGACGUCGCGUGAGGGAUGGAGGCCUUCGGGUUGUGAACCUCUUUCUCCGGUGGUGAAGGCCCUGUCCGUUGCGGCGGGGUUGACGGUAGCCGGGUAUGAAGCGCCGGCUAACUACGU